ACAGCAGUCGCCACGGUAAUACGUAGGUGGCAAGCGUUGUCCGGAAUUAUUGGGCGUAAAGGGCUCGCAGGCGGUUUCUUAAGUCUGAUGUGAAAGCCCCCGGCUCAACCGGGGAGGGUCAUUGGAAACUGGGAAACUUGAGUGCAGAAGAGGAGAGUGGAAUUCCACGUGUAGCGGUGAAAUGCGUAGAGAUGUGGAGGAACACCAGUGGCGAAGGCGACUCUCUGGUCUGUAACUGACGCUGAGGAGCGAAAGCGUGGGGAGCGAACAGGAUUAGAUACCCGCGUAGUCCCUGUCUCUUAUAC
rnacentral:rRNA from 1 species